rnacentral:rRNA from 1 species
AACGAACGCUGGCGGCAUGCCUAACACAUGCAAGUCGAACGAGACCUUCGGGUCUAGUGGCGCACGGGUGCGUAACGCGUGGGAACCUGCCCUUAGGUUCGGAAUACCUCCCCGAAAGGGGUGCUAAUACCGGAUAAUGUCUUCGGACCAAAGAUUUAUCGCCCUUGGAUGGGCCCGCGUUGGAUUAGCUAGUUGGUAGGGUAAAAGCCUACCAAGGCGACGAUCCAUAGCUGGUCUGAGAGGAUGAUCAGCCACACUGGGACUGAGACACGGCCCAGACUCCUACGGGAGGCAGCAGUGGGGAAUAUUGGACAAUGGGCGAAAGCCUGAUCCAGCAAUGCCGCGUGAGUGAUGAAGGCCUUAGGGUUGUAAAGCUCUUUUACCCGGGAUGAUAAUGACAGUACCGGGAGAAUAAGCUCCGGCUAACUCCGUG